UGGUAGAUGCACCCUGAUAACUAACUCCCCCGGUAAGCCUACAAGCACGCUGGGGGUUUUUGUA
rfam:Rivularia sp. PCC 7116, complete genome.